CAUAUAACAAGCCCAUGCUUGGAUAUCAUAAAUGGUUAAAUUUAAAUAAUUUUUAUGACGAAGACAUUAAGAUUUAAAUAGAAAAAAUAUAUUAGAAACUAUAUAAUUGUAUAUUUAGUUAUAUAUCAAUUAUGUAUAAAAUAGAUUUCAGAUGUUUAUAUAAAUCAAAAAAUUAAAAUAAUAUUUAUUAUAAUUUUAAUAAUAUAGAGG
rnacentral:lncRNA from 1 species